CAGCCGCCGCGGUAAUACAGAGGAUGCAAGCGUUAUCCGGAAUGAUUGGGCGUAAAGGGCGCGUAGGCGGAUUGUUUAGUUAGGCGUGAAAUUCCUGGGCUUAACCUGGGGACUGCGCUUAAUACAGGCAGUCUGGAGUGAGGAAGAGGGUUGUGGAAUUCCCAGUGUAGAGGUGAAAUUCGUAGAUAUUGGGAAGAACACCGGUGGCGAAGGCGGCAACCUGGUCCUUGACUGACGCUGAGGCGCGAAAGCGUGGGGAGCAAACAGGAUUAGAUACCCGCGUAGUCCCUGUCUCUUAUAC
rnacentral:rRNA from 1 species